rnacentral:lncRNA from 1 species
UUUCAUUUUGUGGAUUAGUCCUCCUGUAGGCCUUGCACAGGUGAAGAUCCUGGCUGCAUCUACUUAAUUUGACAGGCAAUGGGGAGCUCUUGAAUAUUUGUGUGCAGAAGGCUGGAGGUCACAGAUGUAUGAUAUACUUAGUAAGUGCUGGGAGCAGAAAGAAGGGAGAUCUAUCAGAAAAGAGGGAACAAGGGAAGGAGGAAACAGGAGAUCUACUCCAUUACGCUAGCAGGCGGAAGAGGACGGAGAACUGCGAUGGGAGGUCAGACGGACCACGCUCAUCCAGGGGUUUAUUGCCCAAAAUGAUGUUCAAGACCUCUCACAUCAGCAGAAGAACAAAACGGCUAUCCCCAAAUCAUGAGAAUGCAGGCCUGAUUUAUAUUAUCACAUGCCAGAUGACAUCAUAACGACCCACCUUCCCAACUCUGAUUAUAACCCA